CAAUAGCGUAUAUUAAAGUUGUUGCAGUUAAAAAGCUCGUAGUUGGAUUUGUGGCGUACGGUGUGUUCCGGGCACUUGUUGCCUGAGUAACCUGCUGUUGCCAUCCUUGGGUGGAACCUGUGUGGCAUUAGGUUGUCGUGCAGGGGAUGCCCAUCAUUUACUGUGAAAAAAUUAGAGUGUUCAAAGCAGGCUUAUGCCAUUGAAUAUAUUAGCAUGGAAUAAUGAGAUAGGACUUUUUUGCUAUUUUGUUGGUUUGCGCAAAGAGGUAAUGAUUAAUAGGGACAGUUGGGGGUAUUCGUGUUCCAUUGUCAGAGGUGAAAUUCUUGGAUUUUUGGAGGACGAACUACUGCGAAAGCAUUUACCAAGGAUGUUUUCAUUAA
rnacentral:rRNA from 1 species